UUCUGACCUCAAAUCAGGUGGGA
rnacentral:rRNA from 1 species